GGCGCUGCGCCGAUUGGAAGUUCCACCACGACCGUCACCAGCACAGGGCCAAACCGAGAAACCGGGACGCGGGGGCCGCCGCCACUCAGUCCCUCCUCCGCCGCCGCCGCUCCACUUCUCCAACAGCCGUCGCUCGGGCGCGCGCGCGCCGCCCGCCGCUCCGCGGUCCGCCUUCAGCAAGGGACUCCUCGGCGGCCGCGGCAGCCACCUCCUCCGCCUCCUCCUCCUCCUCCGCGGCGGCGGCGGCGGCGGCUCCCGCAGGCAUCCACAGUCCCGCCUCCUCCCUUCAUUUCCUUGUUUUGGAACCUGGUGGGCCGCGCCGCGGCUUUCUCGAACUCAUUAAGGAACCAAGCGUCCCGCCCCAAGGUCGCGAGCCAUUCUGGGAAAUGUAGUUCAAGAGGGCUCGUGAGUUGUGCUACCUCCUCGGGAGCGGGGAAUACAGUUCCCAGAGUUCCUGGGGCCUUUUGGGCCACGCCUCCACAAGGCAUGUACGCCUGCGCACUGCCGCCGCCCCACCCCCUCAGGUAGCGCGCCACUGCUGUUCCUGUAA
rnacentral:lncRNA from 1 species